GUCGAGCGAGCGGAACUAACAGAUUUACUUCGGUAAUGACGUUAGGAAAGCGAGCGGCGGAUGGGUGAGUAACACGUGGGGAACCUGCCCCAUAGUCUGGGAUACCACUUGGAAACAGGUGCUAAUACCGGAUAAGAAAGCAGAUCGCAUGAUCAGCUUUUAAAAGGCGGCGUAAGCUGUCGCUAUGGGAUGGCCCCGCGGUGCAUUAGCUAGUUGGUAAGGUAAAGGCUUACCAAGGCGAUGAUGCAUAGCCGAGUUGAGAGACUGAUCGGCCACAUUGGGACUGAGACACGGCCCAAACUCCUACGGGAGGCAGCAGUAGGGAAUCUUCCACAAUGGACGCAAGUCUGAUGGAGCAACGCCGCGUGAGUGAAGAAGGUUUUCGGAUCGUAAAGCUCUGUUGUUGGUGAAGAAGGAUAGAGGUAGUAACUGGCCUUUAUUUGACGGUAAUCAACCAGAAAGUCACGGCUAACUACGUGCCAGCAGCCGCGGUAAUACGUAGGUGGCAAGCGUUGUCCGGAUUUAUUGGGCGUAAAGCGAGCGCAGGCGGAAGAAUAAGUCUGAUGUGAAAGCCCUCGGCUUAACCGAGGAACUGCAUCGGAAACUGUUUUUCUUGAGUGCAGAAGAGGAGAGUGGAACUCCAUGUGUAGCGGUGGAAUGCGUAGAUAUAUGGAAGAACACCGUGGCGAACGCGGCUCUCUGGUCUGCACUGACGCUGACGCUC
rnacentral:rRNA from 1 species